rnacentral:pre_miRNA from 1 species
GAGACACCCCUGUGGAGCAGGACUUGCUUCAGUGGGACUUUGGUGCUCACUGAGUCUUCCCUUUGAGUGUGUCACA